GUUGUAAUGUUGGUGGCACUUGCUCAACUUAUUUAUUUAUAAUUUUUUUUUUGGGCUAACUGGUUUCCACACGUUUUCAGUGUUUUAUAUUGGUAUUUGUUAAUGGUAAUAUGUUAUUUAAAUAUUUCAAAGUUAAUUCUAAACGAAGUUGUAAUAAUUUUAAUUAUGUGUAAUUUAAAUGUUUGAACAUCAAGUUUUUUUAUUGUGUCAAUGUAAUUUUUUUGAAUCUAUUAUGAAUAAUGUGUUUACAAUUUAAUUAUUAUGGUAAAUAUGUGAAGGUAUGUUUAAGACAUUAUAAGUCAAUCUUUUGUAAUAGAAUUAAUGUAUUAUCGAUCUUUUGAUUUUCUAAAAAGUACUCUCUACGAGUGCCAUGUUCAAUGUCCUUCUUCGUCUUGCACUUACUGACCACAAACGGUCUUUUCCAGCACUUUGACGCCAUGAUGUAGUAACUCAAAAAUUCGUUCUUGUGUGAUUUAAAGUUUUCAAGAUGCAUUAAGCAUCUACAACCGCACUAAGUGCGGUUCCACGAUACCGGCCACGCGGUAAUCCACGAUACCGGUAAUGCGGUACACUUGAACCAACUUGUGCUGUGGUGUUGGGGGCCUGUCCCCGGCAGCCCGGAAGCAAAAUGAUGUGACCGCACCUAAUUCAGGAAAGCCGACGACUAUUUCAUUAUUUUUGGCAUGAACUACUAACAUUUUUUUUAAUCUACUCUACAUAAUGUGAAAAUUUCGUGAACUUAACCUCAUCGGACUUCUCGUCAAACUUUGUCUUCUCUUCUAUCUUAAAGAAUUUUUUUUUUGAACCAAUGUAAAGUCUUAUUUAAAAUAUGUAAUUUACAAGCAACGAAACAAUGUAACAUGGACUAAAGAUAUUUUGAUAAACAAACAAAAAAUUUUUGUUUUGUAAGGAAUUCAUCAUGUAAUUAUUAAUUUGUUUUAAUAGUAAACAAAAAAAUUUAUUCGUUUUUGUAAGGGGCCCCAGAUAAGAUAAAACUUAAACAUAGUAAAAUCAGUAUCAUGUAAGAAAUAAUUUAAAAUACUAGUGAUAAUAUAAUAUGGUCAGAGUGUUGAGAUUUAAAAAAUAAUUUACAUAAAAAAUAAAUUAUUUAUCUGAAA